AGAGAGAGAAAGGGAAAGCGACAACUGAGAACGCGCCGCAGACCUAAAAGACGCAGCGCCUUAAAAAAGUGGUUUGCAAAGCAACCCCGGCGCGCUUUCAGCUCUUAACGGGGGUGAGGGGUGGGGAGUGUGCUAGGUUUAACUCUUUAAUCGACCGGGGCUUCUCGUUUCUUAAACUACGGUUGGGCAGGAAGGUGUGCAGCCUCGGGUUUUUUUUUAAAAAAAGAAGAUAUCGCCAUAAGCACUCUGUGAUGAAAAUAACGUAUUUUUUAGAUCAAAAUUAAUCAGUGCACCUCCUCUAACUACAAUAAUGACAUUCACAAAUGGGAAUACAACAGCUGUCUCCAAAUCUAUUUGAUGGCUUUCACCAAAGUGAAAUGACAGAAAAGAAGACAAGUAUUUGUAAAAGCACAGGACAUGUUUGCUUCUCUUUGUUUUGUUGAGCUUUGUAUCCUGUGAGAUCUUUAUCCUAUGGACAGUUUCUAGUCUGCUUUUCAUACAUGCAGAAAAUGCAAGUAUUGGGGGGGUUGGGGAUGUCAGAAAUACACAUGGCAAAACUAGAGUAUCCACCAUUAAUAGAAAAGCAGGUAAUAAAAUCUUUAUUACCAGCAGCAUUUUUGCUACGUCGGAGACUCUAAUUAAGAUGUAAAUUUUGAUUCUGAGCAGUGAGACAAAACCAUGCUACAGAUAUACUAAGCAAGUUUCUCCAUGCUUUAUAAAUGAAGCAUCUUGAACAUCAUUUGAAGCAUUUUAAUGAAAAAAAUGACUUUGUAACAUAGUUUGUCUUCAUAUCAAUUACAUGCAAUAAAUGUCAAACUUCUGCACAAUAAGGAUGCACUGUCCUGUACCAUGAUGUGGGCUUAUUCUUUGGAUUCUAAUAUAUAUGUUGGUUUUCAUACGCAAAAAAAUCCUCAUAAGCAAUAUAUACCACAAUGUGUCAUCAUACUUAUUAAACUGAAGUGAGAAAUACAAAA